GAGUUUGAUCUUGGCUCAGAUUGAACGCUGGCGGCAUGCCUUACACAUGCAAGUCGAACGGCAGCACGGGAGCUUGCUCCUGGUGGCGAGUGGCGAACGGGUGAGUAAUGCAUCGGAACGUAUCCUGGAGUGGGGGAUAACGUAGCGAAAGUUACGCUAAUACCGCAUAUUCUGUGAGCAGGAAAGCGGGGGACCUUCGGGCCUCGCGCUCUUGGAGCGGCCGAUGUCGGAUUAGCUAGUUGGUGAGGUAAAGGCUCACCAAGGCGACGAUCCGUAGCAGGUCUGAGAGGAUGAUCUGCCACACUGGAACUGAGACACGGUCCAGACUCCUACGGGAGCAGCAGUGGGAUUUUGGACAAUGGGGGCAACCCUGAUCCAGCCAUGCCGCGUGAGUGAAGAAGGCCUCGG
rnacentral:rRNA from 1 species